GGGCCAGCGAGAUCCCAUCCCCUCUGUCCCAGGAAGGAGCGCCCUGAAGAAAGCUCCUGUCAAGGACAGUGCCCAGGGCUCAGAUCUCCAUCAGCGUGAUCUUGAAGCCUUCCACCAUGCUCUCCAUGUUGAGGAUGAAGGGCUUCUGAGAUCUUUUGGCCCAACCGUUCCGCCUCAGAGAAGUUAGCCGAGAGCCAAACAAUUGUUGGCUACUGAACCACAGCCCACAUAGUUCGGACCCUAAGGAUUUUGAUUGCGAACCUCAGCUGCCCUUGACCGCACACAUGCGUGCAGGAAAGACAGUGCACACGGCUUCGAGACAAGCUUCAUCGUCAGUAAUUUGCAAGCAGCCCAUACUUCUCAGACAGCUGAAAGAGGAAUAACAGGGAAGCUGGUCAGCAGGGGAAGCAAUGUGGAACAUUCCAGUUCAACUCUCACGUUGCCCUGAGCCCGGACAGUCUCCCCUCAUGAGACAAGGUGGAAAAUCUCAUUAAUAAGGAACAAAAGGCCUCAUUUUCCCUGAACCACCCAAGCUGCUGGCUUUAUAGGUUAGUAAAAUGAGGUUUCUAGAAGUGAAUGGAGCUCCAGAUCAGAGUUAGCAACUGAUAGGGUCACAACCUAACUACUAUGUCCCCGACUGCUUCCAUCAAGUCCCAUGUUCUCGGUCCUUGGCAGGAAGAGAAAAGAAACAAGAAUUGCAGAUCAUGAUGUGAGCACACAGCCUGCGAGUGUGUCAGUUUGUGUCUAAUACCACCCUGUUUUUAUUCUCUUUGGACAGAUCACUCACCCAAACA